rnacentral:rRNA from 1 species
UACGUAGGGGGCGAGCGUUGUCCGGAUUUAUUGGGCGUAAAGCGCGCGUAGGCGGCGCGGUAUGUCGUGCGUGAAAUCUCCCGGCUUAACUGGGAGGGGCCGUGCGAAACUGCCGGGCUUGAGGUCAGAAGGGGAAAGUGGAAUUCCGGGUGUAGUGGUGGAAUACGUAGAUAUCCGGAGGAACACCAGCGGCGAAGGCGGCUUUCUGGUCUGAUACUGACGCUGAGACGCGAAAGCGUGGGGAGCGAUCCGG